ensembl:lncRNA
GUAUAACUGAGGUUCAACUGCAGUAUAACUGAGGUUCAACUGCAGUAUAACUGAGGUUCAACUGCAGUAUAACUGAGGUUCAACUGCAGUAUAACUGAGGUUCAACUGCAGUAUAACUGAGGUUCAACUGCAGUAUAACUGAGGUUCAACUGCAGUAUAACUGAGGUUUAACUGCAGUAUAACUGAGGUUCAACUGCAGUAUAACUGAGGUUCAACUGCAGUAUAACUGAGGUUCAACUGCAGUAUAACUGAGGUUCAACUGCAGUAUAACUGAGGUUCAACUGCAGUAUAACUGAGGUUCAACUGCAGUAUAACUGAGGUUCAACUGCAGUACACUGCAGUUAUUCUGUAAUUACUGCAUCCAAAAUACCACAGUUGACUGACUGGUUACUGCACUUUUACUGCAGUUUCAAAACGGCAACCUUUUUUUUGUAAGGAGAGGAGUAACUAACGUUACAAAGAACUGUGAAACAGACACAUAACAGUGUUACCAAGUUGUAAGCAGAGCCAUAUAUAUUAUAACAUACAUAGAUUUCAACAGGGCUCUGGCUCUAAUGAUCUGUUAUGUAAGGGAUAAUCAACCAGAGGCUAUGGGUUCUAUGGAAAAUAAUGAACGAUGUGGAAGGUGUGUUCCAGCUGACUUUCCACUUUUCCAGUAUGCAUAGAGCCCCAAGUUGAUUAUCCCUUUUAUACCAGGGCUAUAAUUGAACACAUUUGCUGCUAGAAAUGUGUUAAUUGGCCAGUAGAAAUGUGUUUAACAUCCACUGAAGGUAGCUAGCAAGUUUACUAGACAGCGACAGUGGUUGCCUUGGUAACCGAACAAACUGACUCGCUAGUUUAGCGAACUAAACCAUCAGUACUAGUUCGCCAUUAUGAAAAUCGAAUUCAAACAUGCCAAUAAUGUUUAUUGAACUUUUGCUUUCAAAAGCAACUCAAACAUAUAACAUGUAAGAACGCACCUUUCUAUCGUGCAAAUAUACCGUGAGUUAUACGGAAAUAAUGCACGCUCUAGAAUGCCCUUCAAGCCAAUCAGAAACACAUAUUCAAUGCUAUGGUAUAACAUCAUAAUGAUACAUUUUUUUAUCCCUGAACUAAAACAUCAGCAAGACCGUCCACCUUCCUGUGGCUUUGUCAAGGGAGCACAGUAGGUUUCGCAGUACCCCCACCCCUAAUUCCUCUGUCAUUUGUAAAGGGGGGUUGUCUUCAUCUUUGAACCCCCACAGAGAGCAGCUUCCUGUGGGGCGGUCAUCAGCCGUUAUUCAAUGGCUCCAGGGAAGCACUGUAACACUGUUCUAGAAGAUCCAACCAGCCGAUGAGCAAGCAGAUGGAGGACCAAAGCAGCCAAUGAGAGAGCAGCAAUGAGACCAAGUCUGUCAUUUUUUCAUUUUUUUGUCUCUUUUUCCUUUUCACCAAAUGACUUGACGCUACUGAACGUCAAUGGUGAUUUGAGCAAAUACGUUAUUAAUAAUUGUCAUAAGUGUAGAUGUUAUAUAUCUCUAAUACAUCUAUAUUAUCAGUCACAUACUGCUUGGUUGUGGUCCUCUCAGGACUCUGUCAUCGUUCCUACAGCUAUCUCUCUGUCUCUCUCUGGAGUAAUAAUACAAAGUAAGAGAAGGAACCAUUAAGGUGUUUGUCUGCAUCCGAAAUGGCACCCUGUUCCCUAUGUUUUCCACUAUUGUUGACCAGGGCACAUAGGGAAUAGGCUGUCAUUUGGAAUGUAGAUGUUGAGUCACUACGAUACAAGGCAUUGGCUCAUACAGGGUCAUCAGGUCCUUGAGAUCCCAGGUCUGAACACCUGGUAGUCAUACUAGGAGAGGAGGUAUACUCCUUCCUGUCAUGGAGAAGACCCCUUCAAUCCUUCUUUCACUGCCUCUCUCCAUCUUCACUGCUCCCU